GCUUAACACAUGCAAGUCGAGGGGCAGCAUUUUAGUUUGCUUGCAAACUGAAGAUGGCGACCGGCGCACGGGUGAGUAACACGUAUCCAACCUGCCGAUAACUCCGGAAUAGCCUUUCGAAAGAAAGAUUAAUACCGGAUAGCAUACGAAUAUCGCAUGAUAUUUUUAUUAAAGAAUUUCGGUUAUCGAUGGGGAUGCGUUCCAUUAGUUUGUUGGCGGGGUAACGGCCCACCAAGACUACGAUGGAUAGGGGUUCUGAGAGGAAGGUCCCCCACAUUGGAGCUGAGACACGGUCCAAACUCCUACGGGAGGCAGCAGUGAGGAAUAUUGGUCAAUGGGCGAGAGCCUGAACCAGCCAAGUAGCGUGAAGGAUGAAGGCUCUAUGGGUCGUAAACUUCUUUUAUAUGGGAAUAAAGUUUUCCACGUGUGGAAUUUUGUAUGUACCAUAUGAAUAAGGAUCGGCUAACUCCGUGCCAGCAGCCGCGGUAAUACGGAGGAUCCGAGCGUUAUCCGGAUUUAUUGGGUUUAAAGGGAGCGUAGGUGGAUUGUUAAGUCAGUUGUGAAAGUUUGCGGCUCAACCGUAAAAUUGCAGUUGAAACUGGCAGUCUUGAGUACAGUAGAGGUGGGCGGAAUUCGUGGUGUAGCGGUGAAAUGCUUAGAUAUCACGAAGAACUCCGAUUGCGAAGGCAGCUCACUAGACUGUCACUGACACUGAUGCUCGAAAGUGUGGGUAUCAAACAGGAUUAGAUACCCUGGUAGUCCACACAGUAAACGAUGAAUACUCGCUGUUUGCGAUAUACAGUAAGCGGCCAAGCGAAAGCAUUAAGUAUUCCACCUGGGGAGUACGCCGGCAACGGUGAAACUCAAAGGAAUUGACGGGGGCCCGCACAAGCGGAGGAACAUGUGGUUUAAUUCGAUGAUACGCGAGGAACCUUACCCGGGCUUAAAUUGCAACAGAAUAUAUUGGAAACAGUAUAGCCGUAAGGCUGUUGUGAAGGUGCUGCAUGGUUGUCGUCAGCUCGUGCCGUGAGGUGUCGGCUUAAGUGCCAUAACGAGCGCAACCCUUAUCUUUAGUUACUAACAGGUCAUGCUGAGGACUCUAGAGAGACUGCCGUCGUAAGAUGUGAGGAAGGUGGGGAUGACGUCAAAUCAGCACGGCCCUUACGUCCGGGGCUACACACGUGUUACAAUGGGGGGUACAGAAGGCGGCUACCUGGUGACAGGAUGCUAAUCCCAAAAACCUCUCUCAGUUCGGAUCGAAGUCUGCAACCCGACUUCGUGAAGCUGGAUUCGCUAGUAAUCGCGCAUCAGCCAUGGCGCGGUGAAUACGUUCCCGGGCCUUGUACACACCGCCCGUCAAGCCAUGAAAGCCGGAGGUACCUGAAGUACGUAACCGCAAGGAGCGUCCUAGGGUAAAACUGGUAAUUGGGGCUAAGUCGUA
rnacentral:rRNA from 1 species